CGGAGGGUGCAAGCGUUAAUCGGAAUUACUGGGCGUAAAGCGCACGCAGGCGGUCUGUUAAGUCAGAUGUGAAAUCCCCGGGCUUAACCUGGGAACUGCAUUUGAAACUGGCAGGCUUGAGUCUUGUAGAGGGGGGUAGAAUUCCAGGUGUAGCGGUGAAAUGCGUAGAGAUCUGGAGGAAUACCGGUGGCGAAGGCGGCCCCCUGGACAAAGACUGACGCUCAGGUGCGAAAGCGUGGGGAGCAAACAGGAUUAGAUACCCUGGUAGUCCACGCCGUAAACGAUGUCGACUUGGAGGUUGUUCCCUUGAGGAGUGGCUUCCGGAGCUAACGCGUUAAGUCGACCGCCUGGGGAGUACGGCCGCAAGGUUA
rnacentral:rRNA from 1 species